UACGUAGGGGGCUAGCGUUGUCCGGAAUCAUUGGGCGUAAAGCGCGCGUAGGCGGCCAGAUAAGUCCGGUGUGAAAGUCACAGGCUCAACCUGUGAAUGCCGCUGGAAACUGUCUGGCUAGAGUCCGGAAGGGGCGAGUGGAAUUCCUGGUGUAGCGGUGAAAUGCGCAGAUAUCAGGAGGAACACCGGUGGCGAAGGCGGGUCUCUGGGCAGUAACUGACGCUGAGGAGCGAAAGCGUGGGGAGCGAACAGG
rnacentral:rRNA from 1 species